GAUGAACGCUAGCGGCAGGCUUAACACAUGCAAGUCGAGGGGUAUAGGUUUUCGGAUCUAGAGACCGGCGCACGGGUGCGUAACGCGUAUGCAAUCUACCUUCACAGAGGGAUAGCCCAGAGAAAUUUGGAUUAAUACCUCAUAGUAUUAUAGAAUGGCAUCAUUUUAUAAUUAAAGUCACAACGGUGAAAGAUGAGCAUGCGUCCCAUUAGCUAGUUGGUAUGGUAACGGCAUACCAAGGCAACGAUGGGUAGGGGUCCUGAGAGGGAGAUCCCCCACACUGGUACUGAGACACGGACCAGACUCCUACGGGAGGCAGCAGUGAGGAAUAUUGGUCAAUGGGCGCAAGCCUGAACCAGCCAUGCCGCGUGCAGGAUGACGGUCCUAUGGAUUGUAAACUGCUUUUGCACAGGAAGAAACAACGCUACGUGUAGCGUCUUGACGGUACUGUGAGAAUAAGGAUCGGCUAACUCCGUG
rnacentral:rRNA from 1 species